rnacentral:rRNA from 1 species
GAUCAUGGCUCAGAUUGAACGCUGGCGGCAUGCCUUACACAUGCAAGUCGAACGGCAGCGGACCUUCGGGUGCCGGCGAGUGGCGAACGGGUGAGUAAUGCAUCGGAACGUGCCAUUGAGUGGGGGAUAACGUAGCGAAAGUUGCGCUAAUACCGCAUAUUCUGUGAGCAGGAAAGCAGGGGACCGCAAGGCCUUGCGCUCUUUGAGCGGCCGAUGUCAGAUUAGCUAGUUGGUGAGGUAACGGCUUACCAAGGCGACGAUCUGUAGCGGGUCUGAGAGGAUGAUCCGCCACACUGGAACUGAGACACGGUCCAGACUCCUACGGGAGGCAGCAGUGGGGAAUUUUGGACAAUGGGGCAACCCUGAUCCAGCCAUGCCGCGUGAGUGAAGAAGGCCUUCGGGUUGUAAAGCUCUUUCGGCCGGGAAGAAAUCGCAUGGGUUAAUACCCUGUGUGGAUGACGGUACCGGCAUAAGAAGCACCGGCUAACUACGUG